CCUAUCAUGCAGUCGAGCGGACAGAAGGGAGCUUGCUCCCGGAUGUUAGCGGCGGACGGGUGAGUAACACGUGGGUAACCUGCCUGUAAGACUGGGAUAACUCCGGGAAACCGGAGCUAAUACCGGAUAGUUCCUUGAACCGCAUGGUUCAAGGAUGAAAGACGGUUUCGGCUGUCACUUACAGAUGGACCCGCGGCGCAUUAGCUAGUUGGUGGGGUAAUGGCUCACCAAGGCGACGAUGCGUAGCCGACCUGAGAGGGUGAUCGGCCACACUGGGACUGAGACACGGCCCAGACUCCUACGGGAGGCAGCAGUAGGGAAUCUUCCGCAAUGGACGAAAGUCUGACGGAGCAACGCCGCGUGAGUGAUGAAGGUUUUCGGAUCGUAAAGCUCUGUUGUUAGGGAAGAACAAGUGCGAGAGUAACUGCUCGCACCUUGACGGUACCUAACCAGAAAGCCACGGCUAACUACGUGCCAGCAGCCGCGGUAAUACGUAGGUGGCAAGCGUUGUCCGGAAUUAUUGGGCGUAAAGGGCUCGCAGGCGGUUUCUUAAGUCUGAUGUGAAAGCCCCCGGCUCAACCGGGGAGGGUCAUUGGAAACUGGGAAACUUGAGUGCAGAAGAGGAGAGUGGAAUUCCACGUGUAGCGGUGAAAUGCGUAGAGAUGUGGAGGAACACCAGUGGCGAAGGCGACUCUCUGGUCUGUAACUGACGCUGAGGAGCGAAAGCGUGGGGAGCGAACAGGAUUAGAUACCCUGGUAGUCCACGCCGUAAACGAUGAGUGCUAAGUGUUAGGGGGUUUCCGCCCCUUAGUGCUGCAGCUAACGCAUUAAGCACUCCGCCUGGGGAGUACGGUC
rnacentral:rRNA from 1 species